rnacentral:rRNA from 1 species
UACGUAGGGUCCGAGCGUUGUCCGGAAUUACUGGGCGUAAAGCGCGUGUAGGCGGCUAUGCAAGUCGGAUGUGAAAGCCCUCGGCUCAACCGGGGAAGUGCACCCGAAACUGCAAAGCUAGAGUCUCGGAGAGGAUCGUGGAAUUCUCGGUGUAGAGGUGAAAUUCGUAGAUAUCGAGAGGAACACCGGUGGCGAAGGCGGCAUCCUGGACCGACAUUGACGCUGAGGAGCGAAAGCUAGGGGAGCAAACGGG